GCCCGGGUGGUGAAAUUGGUAAACACAAGGGACUUAAAAUCCCUCGGGUCUAAAACGCCCUUGCCGGUUCGAGUCCGGCCCCGGGCA
rnacentral:tRNA from 1 species